UACGGGGGGUGCGAGCGUUGUCCGGAAUCACUGGGCGUAAAGGGCGCGUAGGUGGUUUGAUAAGGGUGUGGUGAAAGCCCGGGGCUCAACCCCGGGUCUGCCGUGCCGACUGUCAAACUCGAGGGCUGUAGAGGCAGACGGAAUUCCGGGUGUAGCGGUGGAAUGCGUAGAGAUCCGGAGGAAGACCGGUGGCGAAGGCGGCAUCCUGGACCGGCAUUGACGCUGAGGCGCGAAAGCCAGGGGAGCAAACGGG
rnacentral:rRNA from 1 species